CCUACGGGAGGCAGCAGUGGGGAAUUUUGCGCAAUGCUCGUAAGAGUGACGCAGCGACGCCGCGUGAAUGACGAAGGCCUUCGGGUCGUAAAGUUCUUUCGACAGGGAAGAAAAUGCCUAUAAUUAACUGUGUAUGUAUUGCCGGUACCUGUAUAAGCAGCCCCGUCUAACUCCGUGCCAGCAGCCGCCGUAAUACGGAGGGGGCGAGCGUUGUUCGUAGUGACUGGGCGUAAAGAGCACGUAGGCGGUGUUGUAAGUCAUUAGUCAAAGACUAGAGCUCAACUUUAGUAAGGCUAGUGAUACUAUAAUACGAGAGUAUAAGAGAGGAUUGCAGAAUUCCUGGUGGAGCGGUGAAAUGCGUAGAGAUCAGGAGGAAUACCGUUAGCGAAGGCGGCAAUCUGGCUGGAAACUGACGCUGAGGUGCGAAAGCGUGGGUAGCAAACAGGAUUAGAUACCCGGGUAGUC
rnacentral:rRNA from 1 species